GACGAACGCUGGCGGCGUGCUUAACACAUGCAAGUCGAACGGAAAGGCCCUGCUUUUGUGGGGUGCUCGAGUGGCGAACGGGGGAGUAACACGUGAGUAACCUGCCCUUGACGUUGGGAUAACUUCAGGAAACUGGGGCUAAUACCGGAUAGGAGCUCCUGCUGCAUGGUGGGGGUUGGAAAGUUUCGGCGGUUGGGGAUGGACUCGCGGCUUAUCAGCUUGUUGGUGGGGUAGUGGCUUACCAAGGCUUUGACGGGUAGCCGGCCUGAGAGGGUGACCGGCCCCAUUGGGAUUGAGCUGCGGCACAGACUCCUACGGGAGGCAGCAGUGGGGAAUAUUGCACAAUGGGCGGAAGCCUGAUGCAGCACAGCCGCGUGCCGGAUGACGGCCUUCGGGUUGUAAACCGCUUUCGUCUGUGCCGAAGCGUGAGUGACGGUAAUGGGUAAAGAAGCACCGGCUAACUACGUG
rnacentral:rRNA from 1 species